UACGGAGGGUGCAAGCAUUAAUCGGAUUUAUUGGGCGUAAAGGGCGCGUAGGCGGCAUGAAAAGUCAGAUGUGAAAUCCCGGGGCUCAACCCCGGAACAGCAUUUGAAACUGUCAUACUAGAGGGUAGGCGGAGAAAACGGAAUUCCACAAGUAGCGGUGAAAUGCGUAGAUAUGUGGAAGAACACCGGUGGCGAAGGCGGUUUUCUAGCUUAUUCCUGACGCUGAGGCGCGAAAGCAAGGGGAUCAAACAGG
rnacentral:rRNA from 1 species